GCCAGGAGUACUUUUGCAGAGCUUAGGCAAGGGCACCAAUUAUGCACAUUGCUGGAGAAGGUGAACUUUGCCAUAGUCAUGCAUGCCUUAGUUGCAUCAAGGUCGAAUCUCAGUUAUGUAGCAUCUUUCCCAAAGAUGCUCACCCAGCACCAGUUCUACUAACUUUUUGUGCCAGCUUAAAAAACUGUUAUUCGCGGAUAUUUUUAAGACCUCUUCUCCACCACUUUAUUAAUAGCUGAUUAAGCUGUCAUAUUUUAAAUAUUGUGUUGCUAGCAAAUUUUCUUCUUUUGUGUUUUAUGAUUUUUUAAAAAUUGCAUUGUAUAGUUUUAUAAAUGUGUUUAUUAUAGUUAUCAUAUCUAAAAUUGUGCUGUAAACCUCCCUAGCAUAAGAUUGUAUGAAAGGCAUAACACCCUAAAUAAUGAUAAUGAUGAUAACUAUUGUUGUUAUUAUUAAUAAAAUUUAUAUCCUGUCCUUACUCCCAAAGCCCAGAGCAGCAAACACACAGGUGACAAAACAUCUAAAAACAUAUAUUUAAAGAUAUCCAGUACAGAUCUGGGAAAGACCUCUACUUAAAGGUGUGCUGAAAGAGGACAGUCUUCUGGAGGUGCCAAAAAAGACAACAGAGAUAUGUAGUGGGAAGCAAUUCCAGACAGAUCUUCUGGUAUGAUGUUCUCUGCUGAAGACUCUUACCUGCAGAGCACACUGGUUGACUAGGUGUAUAAGGGGUGAGAUGACCUUUCAGACAUCCUGGUCCCAAGCUGUAAAGGGCAUUUUGAUUACUGUCUUCCCACAGAUCUCUAAAAGCUCUCCUGAAGGAAGCAUUAGACUAGCAGAAGUGUGUUGCAGAAGAACAUGGGAAAGGUGUUACAUUAGCCAGGUUUGCAAAGUGCCAGGCAUACUGCACUUACAGGAAGCCUCAUUGAUGCAAAAUAGAUAAGUUUGGCCUGGAUAAGGCUGGGCUUUGUCUGCAGAAAUGCAGCUUCUUCCAGGAAAGCUCUUUAAUGCUUCAGUUCAGUGAUAUUGCAAAGCACAUUUUAUGAGCUGCCACCUGCCCUGUUCAGGUUCUUCACUCCUGCUUUAUAGUGUGUGUCGCUUAAAACUGGGUGCUGAAUCUUCCUCUCUGCAUAGAGACAUUUCUCUAGCUUUUACCAUAUAACAGCGACCUUAUUUUAGUAGCUGCAGAUAUGCAGAAAAUAACUUCUGCUUUGCCAACUAAGAAACAUGAUGGGCUUUCAUUGAAUGUGUUUGAAAUGUCUGAUAAGCAAUUCAUGGAUCUUGCAUGACAUUUUUUGUUUGUUUAACCUUGCAUAACUAUUGACAAUGCCAUCUUUUUGUUGUAGUCUAUGGCCAAUGAAUUUGGGUUACAAAAUAUUAUUAUUUAAUUGUGCAGAUGAAUUGGAACUGUCAUAGAAGGUUUCCAUGCGUUUUUCAAGCACUGCAGUAUGUCUUUGUGGGCUUGUGGAGGGAAAGACACUUUUGGUUUCUGUGUUUUAAAAUUUGGAGCUGACUGGGAUGUAUGUUGCAAAUUGAUGCACUUUUAAUUAACACUAACUACAAGCUUUGUUUUUGAUGGAAAAACAGACCUAAUAAUUUGCUUGAGGCUCCUGAAAGACUUUAAAAAGAGGCUGGCACUAAGUAAUUAAAUAUAAAUGCCAGAGCAAUACACCAUGGGGACAUAUUGGUUAAUAUCCAAUUGUGCUAUCCCACAUGUGCAACACACCACUUGUACCGAUCGGACUUACCCUCCUUCCCCCCUCUGCAAUCCCUGCAUACCCCUCAGAAUCUGCUCCAUGUGGUGCAGGGGGGAAGGGAUGGGGAAAAUUCCAUUAUAUCCACUGGUACAACAUUGGAUCUUGACCAUUGUUCCUUAUACAAUAAAAUUGUUUCCUGUAGAUAGGAGGGUUCAUGCUAUCUUGGACUUGGUCACUUAAAAGCCAGUUAUGACAUGUGCAUGAAGUGCUCUGCACGAAAACAUGAGCAAUGUCUUUUAACCCUCUUGUUUAAGAAGACAUUGCAUAUUACUGGUGCUGCUACUACUACAAUUUAUUACAUGUCCUUCACUCUAAGGGCAGGUUGCCACAGUUAAAACACAGCAUUAAGCCACUAUAAAAACGAUUCACACUACCACUUCCCCCCCACUCCAUGGGUGUUUCAGAAUUGCCUGGUGGGGCAGAUUUAUUUAGAAUGUAAGAGUAACCUGCUGGAUGAUAAGGCCAGUGGCCCAUCUAGUCCGUAAACCUGUUAUUGCAGGAUAACCAGCUUCUUAUGGGAAAGCAGAACAUGAGCACAACAGCACUCUUGCCAUUUGUGAUUCCCAGCAACUGGUGUUCAGGGUCAUAUUGCCUCAGACAGUGGAGGCAGAGCACAGCCACCACCAGUAGUAGCCAUUGAUAACCUUAUCCUCCAUGAACUUGUCUAAUCUUCUCUUAAAACCAUCCAAGGUGGUGGUCUUCACUACCUGGGAGCUUUCCUGUGGUGUCCCGAAGGAUUUCAUCUUGUCCCCCUGCUACUUAACAUCUAUAUGAAACCUCUGGCAGCUGCCAUCAGGAGUUUAGGAGUGAAUGGACACCAAUAUGUGGACGACACCCAGGUUUACCUCUUCAUGCCAUCUGAAUCAGAAGAGGUGACUGAGUUGCCACAUGUUUGGAGGCAAUGAUUGGGCUGGAGGUGGACUGAAAAACUGAAACUGGAUGGGGGGGGGAGUGUUAUGAGAUCCAAGUUCUCAAGCAGAGCAAGUGGGGAGAUGGCCUGUUCUGGAUGGGGUUGCUGAUUUGUGAAACACUCCAUAGUUACUCUUCAUGACAUGCUGUCUCUUUUUUCUGUCAUUCUCAUUGCCCUGGUUUGCAUCUUUUCUAUUUUUAAUUCAUCCUUCUUGAGCAUGGGGACCCCAACUGGGCAUGGUAUCCCAGCACUAAUAUCUUAACUUGCUGUAGUUGCCAACUUAUUUAGCUGCUAUACAAAAGAACAGGAAAAAAAACCAUUUGAUGCAUCUAGAACUUGUCUAAAUAUCAGAAGGGUCGCAUUGCUCUCUGUGUGUGUCCUGUUCAUAUGAACCAUACAAAGGUGUGUACUUCAGUUUUGGUGUUCCGUUCUUGGUUUAGAUGUCACAUUUCAAGGUCAUUUUUGCCUUCCGGCUCAGACAUUAUUAAAAACCACUCAGAUAUAAAUAAGCGACACGGAGCCAGGAUUUUCCUGGUUCAUCUAACAAUGUGCCCUACUUCCACCUUUCACCAGCAGCUGUCCUUUCCUUUUUUAAUUAAAAUUCUCUCCCCCUCCUUGCAUAUUUCAUUUCAUUGGCAUACCACAGGGCUGUAGUUUCAGGGUUUGUAAAGGAAAAGAAUGUUAUUCACUGAUGCUUAGUGAAUCCCAGUAGCCUUUGUGAACUGUUGUCAAGGUCUGAUAUACUCUGUAAAGUGUUUUUUCUCUGUCCUUUUUUGCAUUCUGAAACUUUCAAGCUGCUGUAAAGAUCAGGGGGAUAGCUAGUGAAAUCUCCUAGAAGUUAAAUGUAACAUUCAAGGAUUUAAAUGGGUCUUUGUGGAUUGCUCUUACUGUAUGAAGCAAAAUGAAUACUAAGGUCUUUGCUGCCAAUGUGUUAGCCUACUGCUGUGCUUUUUUAAGGACUGCUUUCAUCAAUUGUUAAGGAGCAUAUUCUCUGUUGGUUUGAAUCAAUGCAGCACCAGUGUCGUCAGAAAUCUUUAUUGUGUCUUAAAAUCUAGCAUAAUGAAGAGCUGGAUCAUUUUAGCAGAAACUGUUUUGUUAAAAACACUUGUGGUAAAAUAGUAUCUCUGUGACCUUCCAUAGGUGAUGCACAAUGCAAAAUUAUUAAUGCAAUAGAAACCAUAAAUUUGUGUUAGUAAGUGUUGUAUUCAGGUUGUACACUCUUUAGGAGUGGAAUUUGGACUUGCCACUUUUCUACUACUUUGGAAAGGCAGGAUUUAUUGGCUCUGUGCAGAUGCAGUGCUUCUUGACCAUGGUUAAGAAAUUGUGAGCAUUGCUCAGCCUUUCUCAUUCUUUCUCUGCUUCCUUUUUCUCAUUCCUCUUCUUUUUUCCCUCCCUUCCCCAUUCAGUUUUAAACUAUGGAUAGCAUUUGGUCUGCAUUGGGUUGAACAUUAGUUAUGAUUAGCAUUAAAACAUCAUUUGAAACCUGCUUUUAACUUUGGUUCACACUGUGGUUGCUGUUGAACAUGGUUCCAGCCAUAGCGUUGAGCAUGACACCAAUGUAAUGCUCUGCAUAUAUAACGGCAAAGGUGGGUUGAGUUCAGAAUAGGGGUUAAACUGUGACUUGAGCCCAUACUCCAAUGUACUAGUGUGGAAAACAAAAGUAGAACUCAGGUUAGAAUAAUGUUGCAAGUUUUAAUUAAUUAUAACUAAUAUAAAAUAGGCUAAAGCUCAGUUUCCUUACAUAUAGAAAUGAGAGAGGGUGGAAGGAAGAACAUGCAAGCCUGAGGAGUGCUCUUGACCUCUUAAUGGCAGAUAAAUAUUAGGAAAUAGCAGCUCUGCCUUGAUCCAUUGGGAUUUGCAAAAUUGAUGAAGAAAAGUUCCAUGUCAGAUUUUAAGACUUUGAUU
rnacentral:lncRNA from 1 species